rnacentral:lncRNA from 1 species
UUAUCUCAUCCCAAUCCAAUUACAAACCCUAAAAUUCAAAUUCAUUUCUCUCUUUCCACUCUCUCCAUUUAACUUGCACCUCCGGCGCCACCACCCACUUCCAUAGAUUGCCGCCUACUACCGAAGAUCGCCGUCACAGCGCGAUAAUUAGUUCUAUCGUGCGAAGCAGAUUCGACGCACACCUCUCCCUUCUCAGUUGCAGCUGCACUCACAAGUGCGAAGAAGCUGCACAUUGUCGCUGCUUGUGGUUUUGCAUAGAUAUGGGUGUGGCUUUGCACAGAUCGGAGGUGGUGGCUCUGCACAGAUCGACGAUGAAGUCGCUGUACGCGACUUCACUCGCAACGUCGCUGCAGUGUGCUCAGAUCGACGACAAUGGUUGGAGGACGCUCAGAUCGACUUCUCU